UGGCUGAGUGGUAAAGCGCUUGGCUUCCGAACACAUGGUUCCGGGUUCGAAUCCUGG
rnacentral:tRNA from 1 species